AGUAUUUUAGCCAAUCAAAACAAGAAUAUAUGACUUUGAUAUGGCAUCUUGACGUCAAACUAAAGCUGGUACGGUGUUUUAGUUUGAGCGAUUGGUUAUGGAAAAAAACACGAACUUCUGAAGCCACACGUACUUUGGUCAGCGGUGUUGCGCGUGCCAUGUUUACCUUCGUCGAGCGAACGCUGAAAUUCACGCUGUCGUCAUUCGCGAGCUCAAUUCGGGAGUUGAAUUUUGUUUAUUAUCCUUCAAAUAUCUGCCAUUAUCAACGAAUAACUUUAGUUUAAGACUAUUUUGGAAACCUGCAAACUAUUUUGCUUUAAAAUACGGAAUGAAUUCAAUCAUUUUCGUUCGUUCGUGCACAUUCUAGUCGAAGAGUUUUUGAACACGUGGCGAUGUAGCUUUUCGAAAUGUAUUUCUUGACGGAUUGAAUUCAACUCAAACUCCCUACAACUAAACACAGUUGGGAAAAGGUUGUCGUGGAAAGAACCACAAGUUUCGGCGAUGAAAAAGAUGGAUGGCAACAGAUGGAUUACUAAUCGUUCAUGGGAUAUAUUCAGGCUGUACAGUUAACUGCUUACAAAAGUAAAAGCAUGGUCUGAACACUACCUGGAUAAGGACAUCAGCUUAUAAACUUUCUGAAGCAUUUGGUUGGCAUGUACAUCAAUUCAUGGAGUAUGGGCCAUUGUUUUACAAAUACUGUUGUUGUAAAUAAGAAGCAGUGGAUUUGAAUUUGACAGUGGAAUGAUAAUUUUGCUAUUUAUUGAAGGAUGCUUCAAUAUUCACUUCAGGUUGGCAUGGAUUCACAAGCAUAAUAUAUUUAUUUGGAAAUGCUAUUGUAAAAGACUUGAGCUCCUAUAUCAACUUAAAUCAGGGAGUAGGCGGCGUGGUUAGUUGAAUGGAUAAUGUAGGUUUGGGAACUACCCGACAUCAAUGAUUAGUUGAAUGGAUAGAAAUGAGUAUUUGGACAUUGGAUAUGGAAUGGGCAAUAAUGCGAAAAGAAAAAAAAAGAAUGAUGUACACCUGCA